AAAUGAAUUGACGGGGGCCCGCACAAGCGGAGGAACAUGUGGUUUAAUUCGAUGAUACGCGAGGAACCUUACCCGGGCUCGAACGGCAGGGGAAUGAAUCAGAGAUGGUUCAGUCUUCGGACUCCUGUCGAGGUGCUGCAUGGUUGUCGUCAGCUCGUGCUGUGAAGUGUCGGCUUAAGUGCCAUAACGAGCGCAACCCUUGCCAUUAGUUGCCAUCAGGUAAAGCUGGGGACUCUAGUGGGACUGCCACCGCAAGGUGUGAGGAAGGGGGGGAUGACGUCAAAUCAGCACGGCCCUUACGUCCGGGGCGACACACGUGUUACAAUGGCGAGUACAGAGGGAAGCUACCUGGCGACAGGAUGCAGAUCUCGAAAGCUCGUCCCAGUUCGGAUUGGAGUCUGCAACCCGACUCCAUGAAGUUGGAUUCGCUAGUAAUCGCGCAUCAGCCAUGGCGCGGUGAAUACGUUCCCGGGCCUUGUACACACCGCCCGU
rnacentral:rRNA from 1 species